AUUNCCAUCGGUCGCCUGUAUGGUUUUACCCUUUUGGGUAGUGCAUGAUUGUUUUGUUGACGCUUAUUUAGCCUGCUCUGUUAAUGUUAUUGUUGACAGGACGGCCGAGAUGUCAGCGAAUUUCAAGUGUUUCCAUGUGCGUAGCCAUGGCAAUGCACUUGGAUGUUCGCUGGGUCUCAUGGAUGCGGUCCCUAUUGUGAGCUCUACGGGCCUCUUGCCCGCAGAACCUAUGAGGUUGCCCCUGCGGAGACCAUCGCUCUAUUGCUUCACCGACACAUCAUCGGUUUAAUCGCCAUGUUGUAGUUGUUGCGAUUUGGGUGUUGUUCUCUGCCUCUGUGGCGUGCCUCUUAGAACAAAUGACUUACGAAGCUGGUUUGCGUUGUCGCAAGGCUCCUCCCAAUUGGGCG
rnacentral:misc_RNA from 1 species